CGGAUGGAUGAAGUGAAGCUGCAGGACCCAGUGGAGUUCAAGCUGCCCUUACUGACCUUGGUACCAGGAAACACAUGAAGAAAUCGGAGCAAGGGCAACCAAAUGGAAAACUUGAAAAAGAGAAACCGAAUGCGCUGGAAGGUAUUGACUUAAGCAACUAUGCUGGUGUCGUCGUAUAGAUGACCACCCAGCCGUGACCGAUUCUUCUCUAUGCGACGCUGAUGAUGGAGACUUUCAAGAGGUAACCUCUAAGAAACGUCACAAGACUUUGGCUGAUGGAGACUCCAAGAAAAAAAAAGAGGCAAGAAGCAAAACCAGUGUACAUGGUCGUCAAAACAAGCUUCCUCCUCGCCUAAUUAAAAAGCGGGAAUCUGAUCGCUUGUUUUCUUCAAAGACUGAGUGUCAGCUACCUGCGAAGACUGAGGGAGGUGCUACAGACUCUGUUGAUUCCCCCAUUACAAAGACUCAGCAGCAUCCUACCUUUAGUACAAAAGAACUGGCUCCAACGGGGGUUCUUCGACCUAUGGUGAAUGCGUGGAAAAGCCAAUCACUCAUGCUCUGCGGGGAGGCAGCCCUCCGUCAGCUGCCCCACAGUCGGCGACUGCUCCGGCAGUCUCAUCUGCAGAUGUCCUGUGUCCUCCAAAUCGAGCAGCUUUGACAGAAGUAGUGAUCAGCAUGACAGUGGCAUUGACGUGAGCGACCAGCCAGCCUCAGCAGCAUCGUCUCAGCGCUCUUCACCCAGUAAUGAUGGCAAAGCCCCACUGCUUGGGACCAGUCCCAAAGGCUUGG